UACGUAGGUGGCGAGCGUUGUCCGGAUUUACUGGGCGUAAAGGGCGUGCAGGCGGUUUGUUAAGUGCAGAGUGAAAGCUCCCGGCUCAACUGGGAGAGGUCUUUGCAUACUGGCAAACUCGAGGGAGGCAGAGGAAAGUGGAAUUCCCGGUGUAGUGGUGAUAUGCGUAGAUAUCGGGAGGAACACCUGUGGCGAAGGCGGCUUUCUGGCCUAAUACUGACGCUGAGGUGCGAAAGCAUGGGGAGCAAACAGG
rnacentral:rRNA from 1 species